rnacentral:tRNA from 1 species
AUAUAUACAAAUGCUUAUAUCGAUCCCCUCCUAAGGGGCAGGUCACAGGUUCAAAUCCUGUUGGGAGCGCCA